CAUUUAGGACUGGAUUAGUCUGGAUCAGAGACUCACAUUUAGUAAAGUUUAACCACAUUUAUUCUGAAAGUAUUUGACCUGUAGACCAGUGUAUGAACUCAGAAUAUAGAAAUAAAAUAGUAG